UAUAUACUCCCUCCGUUCGGAAUUACUUGUCGCAGAAAUACAUGUAUCUAGACAUAUUUUAGUUCUAGAUACAUCCAUUUCCAAGACAAGUAAUUCCGAACGGAGUGAGUACAUG
rfam:Triticum aestivum genome assembly, contig: Triticum_aestivum_CS42_TGACv1_scaffold_129557_2BL